rnacentral:rRNA from 1 species
GUAGCGGCCGGAGGUCUCGGCCGCGAGCGGCCGAUCGGUAUGGGUGGCUUCGGUGGCGGCAGCAGGGCGGAGAAGAGUGGACGUAGCGUAGCGGCGGCCUCUUGGCUGUGUGCGGUGGGGUGAGGCCCUCGUGUCUGUGCGGCUCGGCGGCUGGCCUGGUGCCCUCGUCGGCCGGUGGCAUCCAGCAUCUGCGGCAGACCAAGACGGUAUGCUCGGGCAGUCCAGCCAUGAGCAGUGACUCCACAUGGCCACAAGUCCACGGCUGGCCUCCUCACCGUCUUGCAUCAUCAACAUACAUGUCACACUGGUAUGAAAAAUUCAGUUUUGCUCAAUCUGGUAACAGAUCUCCACCUGAUUCUCUCUUUUUGAAAUUUUUAUAGAGCAGAUCUAGAUCUACGGUUAACUAAUCAAUACUAUACUGUGGAAGGAUACAAAUUAACGGGUGGUGAAUAAAUAUCUCAAGUAGGCAUGUUCACAGCAUUCACUUUAUUUAGUUUCAGCUAACCAGGCAGCGAGCUAAUGUAUUAUUCUUGAGUUUGCCACUUGGAAAUUUUUUAUUCACAGCUUCUACAUUUAUAACAUGCUAAUGACGAGUUAGCUCCAAUAGUCGCCACACAGAUUAUUGGAUAAACCAAAAAUUGUAUGAAACAAGUUUAAAAGUAAAUAAAUUCAAGUGCACUUCUUUUCAAAAAAUCAGUGGUAGCUGGUAAUAGCUGAAUUUGAGAACAUGGGUACAAGUCUGCAAGGUAGUGUUAUAAUUAACCUCCUUUUUCCCCUUUGGUCAUGUCACUAGCCACUACUUACGGAGCAAGGUAUCUAUCUAUGUAAAAAAAAAUCGGCUGCAAAUCUGUAUAAGAAAAUUCAGCAGGUUUACUUAAAUCUGUUAGCAAUACUAAGAGAUGGUAGACAUUUCAGGUGUUUUGAGGCUGGCCAUUGAUUUGGCUUUGCUGAAGUCUGCUUGUCAGGGUGGUUAAGAACUUCGAGGUGAGGUGGUGAGUGCCCUUUGGUUAUUAAUAUAAUAGUAAUGUGUAAGGUAUACAAUCGUCAAAUCCUUUCUACGGAUUGCAGCAGGUUCCAACCUUUCAAAGGAAGAGAAUCUUCUUGUAAAGAUCACUAGUAGUUGCUUCAUUUACAAUUUAGCAGUGAUGAAGGCAGGAUUUAUGUGGUUCCUUUGCCCUAUCACGUAACUGAUGCUGACUUGGUCACAUAACAGAUAACUGCCUACUAGAGAUUAAAAAAUUCUUCGGUUUCAAUGUUGUGAUUCAUGUCUGUUCAGAAGAAAUUAUGAAUUGAAGUGCCCCAGCCCUGACUACAGCUGCAAGUGUACUCACACACGCUGUUAUCAUGCAUGCCCGUAUAGACUAUCCAUCGACAAAUGUUUAUGUUCCGUACAAAUUAAGACAACACUAUUUGGUUCAUCUGAUUCCUCUUCUUGACAAUAACCAAAAUCUCUACAUCUGUGUAACGGAAGACUUAUACUGUUGUCUUAUACUAUACCCCUUGUCAAGAUAAUAGAGUUUUUGGUUAUUGUUCUAUGCUUACUCCUUUUUAUGUGCAGGCUCUUAUCAGCAAGUUCCUCGGCAAGUUCACAUCAACAGUUAGGCUAAGCUGUGGGAGCUAUGGUUGGUACCAAUUGGUCUUGCUAGUUUUAAUUAGUUGGCCAUUGACAUGGUUGGGGAAGCUUCCAGAUGAGGUCCUUCUCAGAUCUCUACUGGUUGGUGAAACAGGGUGUGUUUACCAUUUCAGAAUCACUACUCGCUUCAUAUCUUCCCCUCCGUUGACCAUAUGCUGAUAUGAAGAAAGGCAGUGCUAACAAAAGCGAUAUGAUCAUAUGAAGUUGGCUUUGACACCAUUAUGUUGUUUCCGUAAAAUUCUUUUAUCAGUGUAUACUAGUAUACCAUGUGUCUUUUUUUGCAAGGGGGGUAUACCAUGUGUUUACCAGAAUUAUCUUUGACUUGAAUUGUAUAUACAAUUAGCUUCACUUGUAAUUAAUAGUUACUCCUAUAUACAACGAUUGUGUACUCC